UCGCAAUGCAAUAUGGGUCAUUCUUGACAGGUUGACCAAGAUUGCCAAUUUUCUGUCAAUCGGAGCCAUAGAUUCCCUUAGUAGAUUAGCCUGCUUAUACGUUGAUAAAAUUAUUUGACUCCACGGCAUCCCCUCGUCCAUUAUGUUCCACUGAGAUCCUUGAUUUACCUCUCAUUUUUGGGAUAGCUUUUAAGAAGCACUUGGUUCGGGAUUGUAGUUCAGCCCUG
rnacentral:lncRNA from 1 species